rnacentral:misc_RNA from 1 species
CGGCGGUGCAUCGUCCCCAAACAAUCCGGUGUGAAUUGGGUCAAACCAAAAUCCGAAUCUCCCAGCUCCAUCAUCUCUUCGAUUCCGCCGGCGAUUUCAAUCACUCCUUAAGAAUUUUGAAGUAUGACAACUGCAGCUAGACCUACAUGGGCACCAGCUAAAGGAGGGAAUGAACAAGGUGGAACUAGAAUUUUUGGUCCAUCUCAGAAGUAUUCUUCAAGAGAUAUUGCAGCUCACACUACUUUAAAGCCUAGAAAGGAGGGACAGGAUACUCAGGAUGAGUUGCAUAGGAGAAAUCUCCGGGAAGAGUUGGAGGACCGUGAGCGAAGACAUUUUUCUUCAAAAGACAACGGCUACGAGGACAGAGAUCGUAGAAAGAGUGGUCAACUGCUUUUAGAUGGUGCUAAAAGAGUGAUUGAAGACCGCAUUGUUCCACGCAGCGCUGAUGCUGAUGAUGAUGCAGACACCAAAAGUGACGAUGAGAGUGAGGAUGAUGACGACGAUGAUGAUGAAGAUGAUACAGAGGCUCUAUUGGCAGAGCUUGAACAGAUAAAAAAGGAGAAAGCAGAGGAGAAACUUCGAAAAGAACGACAAGAGCAAGAGGAGGAGCUUAAAGCAAAGGAAGCAGAAUUGUUGAAAGGAAACCCUCUUAUAAACCAGCCAACGUCUUUCAGUGUUAAGAGAAGGUGGGAUGAUGAUGUGGUCUUCAAGAAUCAGGCUCGCGGAGAACUGAAGGUAGCCAAGCGUUUCAUUAAUGACACCAUCCGGAAUGACUUUCACAGGAAGUUUCUCCACAAAUACAUGAAAUGAUAAUAGGAUUUUGAUGUGAAAAAAAAGCAAUCAACAAACAUCAAUGCCUUGUGAAUUGUUUUUGUUGUAGUUGUUUCUCAACACCCUGUCAUAUCAUUCAAGCAUUACUGUAAUAUUGUCAUUCCUAAACUAUAUAUGGAAAUACAUUUCUG